UCACCUACGGGGGGCAGCAGUGGGGAAUAUUGCACAAUGGGGGAAACCCUGAUGCAGCGACGCCGCGUGAGUGAAGAAGUAUUUCGGUAUGUAAAGCUCUAUCAGCAGGGAAGAAAUAGCGACCUUUGGGUCGCCAGACGGUACCUGACUAAGAAGCUCCGGCUAAAUACGUGCCAGCAGCCGCGGUAAUACGUAUGGAGCAAGCGUUAUCCGGAUUUACUGGGUGUAAAGGGAGCGCAGACGGCAGGGCAAGUCUGAUGUGAAAGUCCGGGGCUCAACCCCGGGACUGCAUUGGAAACUGUCCG
rnacentral:rRNA from 1 species